AUGCUGCUAGAUUUGUCUAACUGCAACUUAAGGAGUCUCGAGGAUUCAGAUGUGAUCCUCGAAAAACUGAUAGAACUAAAUUGUGACUAUACGAGUAUAACUUACUUAGAUGUAUCAAACAAUAAUAUAAAAUCGUUAAAAGGAUUAAGCCAUUUUGAAAAUAUAAAAGUAUUAAAAAUAUCAAACAACAAAUUAACUUCGUUAGACGGUGAUUAUAUUCCUUCAUCAAUGGAAAAAAUAAUAGCUAGUCAAAAUAAUUUAACAGAUAUAUGUUUUAAAGGAAUAACUAAAAAAAGAAAAGACCAAAAAGAUGAAGUGUAUAAUAAAGACUCAGUAUAUUUAUAUAAUGACAAAUUUGUGACAAAUUGUAGGAACAUAAUAGAUGAUGGGAGGAAAAAAGAAAAUGAGAAGGACCUAGAAGUAUCAAAAAAAAAAAAUAGUACAAAAGUAAAUAGAAUAAAAAAAGAAGAUGAAAAUAAAUACAAUUCAUCAAAUGAAUUCGAAUACACUACUAAUUCUUUUAUAUAUAAUUCUUAUAGCAAUGGUAUGUUUAAUACCAAUCAAUUAUAUACAAAUGACAAUUUGCCUCUUAAUAAAUUAACUUUUUUAGACGUAAGUUAUAAUAACAUAAAAAGGCUUACAACAUUUGAAAAGUAUUUACAUAUUAUGAAUAAAAAUGUUGAAAGCAUUAAUGACUUGUUUCAUAACGACUUGCGUCGAAACAGCUCGAAUGAAGCGGGCUCAGGUGGUGUCUACUCAGAUGAUGGUUAUAAUGUUAAUAAUUAUAUUUCCAAACAAACAGAACAAGACGUUAUGGUUUUAUUUUUUUAUACUUUAGAAACAUUAUAUUUAAAAGGGAAUAAAUUAACUAGCUUAAAAGGAUUAAGUGUAUUUAAAAAAUUAAAAACGUUAGAUUUACGAUCUAAUUUGAUAAAUCAUCCUGUACAACUUUUUUAUAUUCUUGAUAAUAAAAACUGGUUAAAAAGGUAUCAUAAUAAUGAAUUAGCAGAAGAAAAAAAAAAAGAGCAAAAAAAAAACGGAACUGUCAUUAGUAGUAACAGUAAUAGUAGUAGCAGUAGUAGUAGUAGUAGUAGUAGUAGUAGUAGCAACAUUAGUAACAAUGGAAACUACUACUCCUACUUCUUGCGUAUUCUAAAAAAAUAUAAAAAUCUUAAAAAUAUACAAAAUAUAUUUUUGUUAGGCAAUCAAAAAGUAUUAACACCUAAAUAUGUAUUUAUGAAUGUUUUUAACGUAUUAAAAAAAAUCAAUAGCAAAAACGAAUUAAUCAUAGAUGUUGCAUCUGACAUCCCUUCAAGCAUUACAGUUGAUUUGUUUAAUCAUAAAAAUGAAAAAAUAAAUAUAGAUGAUGCCACUAUGGCAAGUAAAGACACUAUUACUACAGGUUCUACUACUUUGGGUUCUACCGUUUUGGGUUCUACCGUUUUGGGCCCUACUGUCACGGGCCCUACUGUUACGGGCCCUACUGUUGAAAAAGUAGAUCCAUCGUUAGAAAAAAGUGACACAACUUUAAAAAAUAUAAAAGGUGGUACUGACGAUGGUGAAAGUCCAAACGAUAGUGACACUUGUGCUAGCGAUAGUGAUGAAACAUAUUUAAGAGAAAAAAAAUAUACUCAUAAUGUUAUUAACUCAAAUAUAAAAAAUUUUAAUAAAAAAAAUGGAGAUGCGUGUAUGGAAUUGUGCAAUAAUAAUAAUGAGAAAAGUCGACGAAUCCAGCCACAGUUAAACAAGCAGGUAGAUGGUUGUAUUCAGGAAAGGACAAAGUCUCGUGUGGAUGUGGGUUCUAGUGAAAUUGAUGAAGACGAAACAGAUGAAGAUGAAACAGAUGCAGAUGAAACAGAUGAAGAUGAAACAGAUGCAGAUGAAACAGAUGUAGAUGAAACAGAUGUAGAUGAAACAGAUGAAGGAAAAACAUAUGAAGGAAAAACAGAUGCAGACAAAACAGGUGAAGAUAAAAUAGAUGAAGAUGAAACAGAUGCAGAUGAAACAGAUGUAGAUGAAACAGAUGAAGGAAAAACAUAUGAAGGAAAAACAGAUGCAGACAAAACAGGUGAAGAUGAAACAGAUGAAGAUGAAACAGAUGCAGAUGAAACAGAUGUAGAUGAAACAGAUACAGACAAAACAGAUGCAGACAAAACAGAUGAAGAUGAAACAAAUGAAGAUGAAAUAGAUGAAGACAAAGCGAAAGUUCUAGCGAGUCAUGUAAUGCCAGGGUCAAAUACCAAGAGCACAAACGUAAAAUCAUGCAUAAACAGUGUAAAUAAGAAAAAAAUACAUGACGGAAUAGAAGAAAAAAAAAAAAAGAGCACGCAUUUAUACUGUGAACAUCAAAAUACGAUAGUCGAAACCGAAAAUGAAAAAAUAAAAAAAAAUGAACAAGUAAAAAAAAAUGAACAAGUAAAAAAAAAUNNNNNNNNNNAA
ensembl:lncRNA